AUGUCGAACAGGUCCAUUUGCAAGUUCUUUGUGAAUGGUGCUUGCUUUAAAGGAGACUACUGCCAAUUCUCCCAUGACUGGAAUGAUCAACCAAAUGAUGUCUGCACAUUUUACCAGAACGGUGUGUGCUCUUAUGGCAGCCGUUGCAGAUAUGAACAUGUUGAAGUUUCUUCUGAAUACACCCAACCAUCAACUACUGCAGCACUUGCACCAUCCAACUCUUAUCUGUCAUGGUGUCCUCUUUGUGAGGGGGAAAUAGAUGUGAGCAACCAGACACACAAAAGUUUAUCGGUAUGCUCUGUGCAUCAGUCUACCUGGAGAUUUGAUGAUGAAGAUUGCAUUCCAGAGGAUGGGAACAGCUUGUCAUCAGCGCUAACUGCACAAAACCAAGCGCUCCACCCACUUGCUCAUCUGCCCAUAUGCUCUUUUGCCGCAGCUGGAACUUGUCCCUAUGGGAAAGAGUGCCCUCAGAUGCAUGGGGAUCCAUGCACAACCUGUGGAAAACAGUGCUUGCAUCCCUACCGGCCCAGCGAAGGUGGGGCUCAUAUCAAGCUCUGCAAGAGAAACAACAAACGUCUUGAGACCUUGAAAAAAAGUGAAGAGAUGGAAUGUAGUGUGUGUUUGGACCGUGUGCUUUCAAAGCCCACAGCAGCGGAAAAGAGGUUUGGGCUUCUACCUGAAUGUGACCAUGCCUUCUGUAUCACAUGCAUUAGGAAGUGGCGCAGCAGCUCUCUUACAUCUUCUAUGGAUAUCGACUCUACAGUCAAGGCUUGUCCAAUAUGCCGCAAAGUCUCGUACUACGUCAUUCCUAGUGCUACAUGGUACUCCUCGAAGGAGGAAAAACAGGAUAUAAUUGACGGUUACAAGGCCAAGCUCAAGUCAAUUGAUUGUAGGUACUUUGACUUUGGAAGGGACACUUGCCCCUUUGGUGGUCGAUGUUUCUACAAGCAUGCCUACACCGAUGGGCGCUUGGAGGAGCCGGCAACGGUGGCUGUGCUUCAUUUUCAUGCCGACAAUGGAAGUAUAGAGCAUGCAAGAAAUAUUGGAUUGGCGUACUUGCUCAGCCGGUUACAUCUAUAG
rnacentral:rRNA from 1 species